rnacentral:tRNA from 1 species
GGACGGUUAGCUCAGCUGGAUAGAGCGCGACGCUACGGACGUCGAGGUCAGGGGUUCGAAUCCCUUACCGUUCA